UACGGAGGGUGCAAGCGUUAUCCGGAUUCACUGGGUUUAAGGGUGCGUAGGUGGGUUGGUAAGUCCGUGGUGAAAUCUCCGAGCUUAACUCGGAAACUGCCGUGGAUACUAUCAAUCUUGAAUACUGUGGAGGUAAGCGGAAUAUGUCAUGUAGCGGUGAAAUGCUUAGAGUAGUGACAUAGAACACCGAUAGCGGAGGCAGCUUGCUACACAGUCAUGACACUGAGGCACGAAAGCGUGGGGAUCAAACAGGG
rnacentral:rRNA from 1 species